rnacentral:rRNA from 1 species
AGAGUUUGAUCAUGGCUCAGGACGAACGCUGGCGGCGUGCUUAACACAUGCAAGUCGAGCGGUAAGGCUCCUUCGGGAGUACACGAGCGGCGAACGGGUGAGUAACACGUGAGCAAUCUGCCCUUCACAUCGGGAUAACUUCGGGAAACCGAAGCUAAUACCGGAUACAACCAUCGCUGGCAUCAGCGCUGGUGGAAAGUUCCGGCGGUGAAGGAUGAGCUCGCGGCCUAUCAGCUUGUUGGUGGGGUAACGGCCCACCAAGGCGACGACGGGUAGCCGGCCUGAGAGGGUGACCGGCCACACUGGGACUGAGACACGGCCCAGACUCCUACGGGAGGCAGCAGUGAGGAAUAUUGGACAAUGGGCGAAAGCCUGAUCCAGCAACGCCGCGUGAGGGAUGACGGCCUUCGGGUUGUAAACCUCUUUCAGCAGGGACGAAGCGAAAGUGACGGUACCUGCAGAAGAAGCACCGGCCAACUACGUGCCAGCAGCCGCGGUAAUACGUAGGGUGCAAGCGUUGUCCGGAAUCAUUGGGCGUAAAGGGCUCGUAGGCGGUCCAUCGCGUCGGGAGUGAAAAGCUGGGGCUCAACCCCAGUCUUGCUUCCGAUACGGGUGGACUAGAGGUAGGCAGGGGAGAAUGGAAUUCCUGGUGUAGCGGUGAAAUGCGCAGAUAUCAGGAGGAACACCGGUGGCGAAGGCGGUUCUCUGGGCCUUACCUGACGCUGAGGAGCGAAAGCGUGGGGAGCAAACAGGAUUAGAUACCCCCGUAGUCC